rnacentral:antisense_RNA from 1 species
CGGUGGCUCUACCGAAGAAGAGCACGACAUUGCUCACAUUGCUUCCAGUUGCCCGCUUCGGCGGGCCCUUUUUU